AAUAGAUACCCGGGUAGUCCACGCCGUAAACGAUGAGUGCUAAGUGUUAGAGGGUUUCCGCCCUUUAGUGCUGAAGUUAACGCAUUAAGCACUCCGCCUGGGGAGUACGGCCGCAAGGCUGAAACUCAAAGGAAUUGACGGGGGCCCGCACAAGCGGUGGAGCAUGUGGUUUAAUUCGAAGCAACGCGAAGAACCUUACCAGGUCUUGACAUCCUCUGACAACCCUAGAGAUAGGGCUUCUCCUUCGGGAGCAGAGUGACAGGUGGUGCAUGGUUGUCGUCAGCUCGUGUCGUGAGAUGUUGGGUUAAGUCCCGCAACGAGCGCAACCCUUGAUCUUAGUUGCCAUCAUUAAGUUGGGCACUCUAAGGUGACUGCCGGUGACAAACCGGAGGAAGGUGGGGAUGACGUCAAAUCAUCAUGCCCCUUAUGACCUGGGCUACACACGUGCUACAAUGGACGGUACAAAGAGCUGCAAGACCGCGAGGUGGAGCCAAUCUCAUAAAACCGUUCUCAGUUCGGA
rnacentral:rRNA from 1 species